CCUACAAAAACACAAACUUACUCGUGUAUUGACCCGAAAAAAGUUUUGUUUCCCGUUACGAUCACAGCGCUUUGACGCCGUGCACAGAAAACCUCUUACUGUUCAAGCACAUGUUACACCCUAUUAGUGCCUAGCAACAUGUGUGUUCCUGAUCUCUGCGCCCUGGAACUUGCAGAUCUGUCAAAGGAGCAAGAGGUUCCCCACAGGGCGGGCUGAAGCUUUCGCAGGAUGUCGGCGUCUGAAGCAACAAGAAGGGCUGGCGUCUGCUGUCGAGGCGGGGGACGAGGAGGCCGUGCUGGCGGCGCUGCAGGAGGGGGCAGACUGCGAGUACCUGUGUCCCCCUGACGACCGACCCAGACA